rnacentral:rRNA from 1 species
UGGGGAAUAUUGGACAAUGGGGGAAACCCUGAUCCAGCAAUGCCGCGUGAGUGAAGAAGGCCUUAGGGUUGUAAAGCUCUUUCGCCCGCGAAGAUAAUGACGGUAGCGGGAGAAGAAGCCCCGGCUAACUCCGUGCCAGCAGCCGCGGUAAUACGGAGGGGGCUAGCGUUGUUCGGAAUUACUGGGCGUAAAGCGUACGUAGGCGGAUGCGCAAGUUGGGGGUGAAAUCCCGGGGCUUAACCUCGGAAUUGCCCUCAAAACUGCACGUCUUGAGACCGAGAGAGGUCAGGGGAAUUCCUAGUGUGGAGGUGAAAUUCGUAGAUAUUAGGAAGAACACCAGUGGCGAAGGCGCCUUACUGGCUCGGUACUGACGCUGAGGUACGAAAGCGUGGGGAGCAAACA